rnacentral:rRNA from 1 species
GACAUAGGUGGCGAACGUUAUCCGGAAUUAUUGGGCGUAAAGGGUGCGUAGGUGGUUUAAUAAGUUACUGGUGGUAAAUCGGGGCUCAACCUCGUGGAAGUCAGUAAUACUAUUAGACUAGAGGACCGGAGGAGUUAACGGAAUGGCUCAUGUAGGGGUAAAAUCCGCAAAUAUGAGUUAGAACACCAAUUGGCGAAGGCAGUUAACUAGUCGGUUCCUGACGUUGAGGCACGAAAGCGUGGGGAGCAAACGGG